UACGUAGGGUGCAAGCGUUAAUCGGAAUUACUGGGCGUAAAGCGUGCGCAGGCGGUUGUGCAAGACAGAUGUGAAAUCCCCGGGCUUAACCUGGGAACUGCAUUUGUGACUGCACGGCUAGAGUGUGUCAGAGGGGGGUAGAAUUCCACGUGUAGCAGUGAAAUGCGUAGAUAUGUGGAGGAAUACCGAUGGCGAAGGCAGCCCCCUGGGAUAACACUGACGCUCAUGCAACGAAAGCGUGGGGAGCAAACAGG
rnacentral:rRNA from 1 species